GCUGCUGCGCAACAGCACCUUGGAGGAAGAUAAGAUGGUUUUGAGGGUGGUGGGAAAAAUAGGUUUUCUGUCACUGCACUCCUUUUCCUUUUGCUGUGGUACCAUUAGGGCACAACCACUGGGAACCCCAACAACAGCUCGGUUCUGCCUGGCUGUAUGUAAUAUACUUCACUGUCUGAGCAGUAUGCCUAGCCUGGCCCUGGACUGAACACAAUGGUGACCAAAUGUACCAUGCUGAAUCUGGAUUUGUUCCCACAACUCUCUCUGCAUGUGGCAGCCAGUUUUCGGGCCUGACUUCUAUGAAUGAAGUCAGUCAUGAAUAUGCUGUGACAGCAUGUGCUUGAUUCAAUGCAAAUUAACUUUUGUGUGUGCUUUAUGAGCAGUUGAAGUGCCUAAGCAAUAAACAUGAUCUUGCUAAAUGUACUACAUGCCAGUGAUGAAACUGCUACACAACACAUGGCUACACAACUGGAAAUC